GGAAUAUUGGUCAAUGGAGGCAACUCUGAACCAGCCACGCCGCGUGUAGGAAGAAUGUCCUAUGGAUUGUAAACUACUUUUAUACAGGAAUAACCCCCUCUACGUGUAGAGGGCUGAAGGUACUGUACGAAUAAGCACCGGCUAACUCCGUGCCAGCAGCCGCGGUAAUACGGAGGGUGCAAGCGUUAUCCGGAUUCAUUGGGUUUAAAGGGUGCGUAGGCGGAGACUUAAGUCAGUGGUGAAAUCUCGAGGCUCAACCUCGAAACUGCCAUUGAUACUGAGUCCCUAGAGUAUAGAUGAAGUGGGCGGAAUACGGCAUGUAGCGGUGAAAUGCAUAGAUAUGCCGUAGAACACCGAUUGCGAAGGCAGCUCACUAAACUAGUACUGACGCUGAGGCACGAAAGCGUGGGGAGCG
rnacentral:rRNA from 1 species